UACGUAGGGACCAAGCGUUGUCCGGAAUCAUUGGGCGUAAAGAGCGUGUAGGCGGCUUGUUAAGUCUUGCGUGAAAUCUCGGGGCUCAACCCCGAGCGGUCGUGAGAAACUGGCAGACUAGAGUGCGGUGAGGGGAGACUGGAAUUCCUGGUGUAGCGGUGGAAUGCGCAGAUAUCAGGAGGAACACCGAUGGCGAAGGCAGGUCUCGUGGGCCAUUACUGACACUGAGAAGCGAAAGCAUGGGGAGCGAACAGG
rnacentral:rRNA from 1 species